UACGGAGGAUGCAAGCGUUAUCCGGAAUCAUUGGGCGUAAAGCGUCCGCAGGUGGCAGUUCAAGUCUGCUGUCAAAGACUGGGGCUUAACCCUAGAAAGGCAGUGGAAACUGAACAGCUAGAGUGCGGUAGGGGUAGAGGGAAUUCCCGGUGUAGCGGUGAAAUGCGUAGAGAUCGGGAAGAACACCAGUGGCGGAAGCGCUCUGCUGGACCUGCACUGACACUGAGGGACGAAAGCUAGGGGAGCGAAUGGG
rnacentral:rRNA from 1 species